rnacentral:sRNA from 1 species
AAGGUCGCUGCAGCACUUUGAAUGCUGCAUGUCCUUAUCCUUAAAUCGGCGACGAUCUAAGGAAAC